rnacentral:lncRNA from 1 species
GUUAAUAUGCAGGUAUCCGACGAUUUAACUAAAAAUUGUUUGACUAACUUCGAGAAAUAAAAUAACUAAAGUAAGGAAAGCUUUCUUAAGCUUAUUUUUGAAAGUGAGAUUCAUUUGAACACUUUAAAAUUGAAUAAACAUGAGUAAAACUGUGGCUUAUUCAACUAAAAAUGCACAAAGAAUUUGAUAAACAAAGUAAAACCAAUCACAAAAGAAAUUAGUUCAUCUUUUAGCGAAUUCGACUGGUUAAAUAAAGUUAGGGAGAUCAUGAUAAUACUACAAUCAAAUAAUCAAAGUAAUGAAAGAAGUAUCGAUGUUUGGGUCUUCUUGGCCGCCUGAGACUUUGGACUUGAGGCCCAAUUCCAGUAUGUAUAUCAACUGUAUACAUUCACUGUAUAUCAGUAUAUAUCAACCUUUUUAUACCUGCAUUUUGUACGUAUACAACUCAUUUUUGUCUUCUGAAGCCUAUAUAUUAGCUCCGUUCCCUGUGUAUUUGCUUUCAUUGACAAGGCUGAUUCGAGAAGAAAAGAUUUGGGCCUCCAUGGCCCAUUUGAAAUGCAAACGGAGAAACAUUUGAGUCCAAAUUGGACUCCAACAGUGUGUCAGAAGAAGGAAAAGAGGAAUAGAUCAGUGAAUGAACAAUUUCUUUAGUAAAAUACAUUCAUUUAAAGGAAGCGGAAACGAUGCAGAAAUAAAAGAACUAUCAUAACAUUGAAUAAAAGUUCAAACAGUGUGUUUGUGAUAAUUAUUUUUUAAAAUUACGACACAAUAUCACUAAAUUUA